GCAUUCAAUUCUGCAGCACUUAUACUAAACUUGGAACGACACAGAGAAGAUUAGCCUGGCCCCUGUGCAAGCUUGACAUGUGAAUCGCUAUUGGAUAUUAUUCUAUU